rnacentral:rRNA from 1 species
UGGCGGCAUGCUUAACACAUGCAAGUCGAACGGAAACAGAUCGCUGUGAUCCCUUCGGGGUGAACUUGAUGCUGUCGAGUGGCGGACGGGUGAGUAAUGCUUGGGAAUCUACCCAGUAGUGGGGGACAACACGGGGAAACUCGUGCUAAUACCGCAUACGUCCUACGGGGGAAAGCGGGGGACCUUCGGGCCUCGCACUAUUGGAUGAGCCUAUGUCUGAUUAGCUUGUUGGUGGGGUAAUGGCUUACCAAGGCAACGAUCAGUAGCUGGUCUGAGAGGACGAUCAGCCACACUGGGACUGAGACACGGCCCAGACUCCUACGGGAGGCAGCAGUGGGGAAUAUUGCACAAUGGGCGGAAGCCUGAUGCAGCAAUGCCGCGUGUGUGAAGAAGGCCUGCGGGUUGUAAAGCACUUUCAGUAGGGAGGAAACAGUAACGGGUUAAUACCCCGGUACCUUGACGUUACCUACAGAAGAAGCACCGGCUAACUCUGUG